rnacentral:lncRNA from 1 species
CUUCGAGUGGAAUCUGUUUACCGAAGUAAUUUGAGACUAAUGUCAGGCACCCGUCUUUAGUAUUUUCUUACUUCGAAAAGGAGGUGUAUUUAACUUUAUCCAACUGCUCGUGAAUAUUACAGUUCGUAUCCCUGAAUAUCGUGGAUCAAUAAUACUUAUUCGAGGUACUGGUGCCGGGGAUAAUUAAAACGGGAACAGUGACCUGCCGUCGACCGAAGAUCGUUGCCCGAUAAUCUCGAAUUUCCAUUUAUUUGCAGAGUAAUUAUAAAUGCAGACAGAGUGCAACAUGGAUAAAGGUUAGACAGUUCGUAUUCUGGAAUGCUCUACUGUGGACCACGCAAUAAUGUCAAUAAUUAUGACAUUAACCUCAAAUUGUUAAAAUUCUAUCGAAAAAUGGCGGGAAACUUUUAAAAGAGUAAACCAUCAAUAUGCAAACAGCGAUAAACAAAAUGCUAAUUACAAAUGUAGCAAAGUACAAAUGGCAGUGGGAAAAGAGAAGAAAGAACGGCAGAAUUACUGAAAGGCGAAUCGUUUUAAAUAUUGUUCGGAUUAAAGAAUGUUUGAAGAUGUCGAAGAAAAAAUCUUGAAACAUCGGUGCUCGUCGAGCGUCUCAAGACCAACUGAAAUAUGCAGCAGGGAACGCAAGGAAUUAUCGAGCGGCUACUAUAUUUGGAACAUCACUGCCAGCGUGUCAACGUAUGUCGUGAAAAAUCUAAAGGUUUCGAGAGCAUGAAAGGGGACAGACGGAGCAAGCGAAAAACCUUUGUCGCCCUUGUAUCGUCCCGUGCGCCAACUUCCCAGUUGCGCACUGUACACGUAUCUUGCUCGAUGAAUGCGAACAGGGAGAAUUCAGAAACACGAAAUAAUCCCUUGUUUUAUGAAUCCAGCAGAGCGCGCGUACGUAGAUACGUGUAGAGGUACGUGGCCGUCGAAGUUAACGAAGAGCUUGUAGGCGAACAAAAGCCCGUUGUUAUCCGGGAAAGGGUAAUUGUUCGAUCCGGCUAGGCAACAUCAAAUUUCUGUUUGCGAAAAUCUAUAGCCAUUUAGUUGCCGAAUCCAGGCAUUAUCUUCUGUUAAAUAUGAAAUAUAACGGUACACGGAGGGAUGAGACAAUCGCGGUGAAGAAUAACGAAAUGAUUAAUUCCUCUUGAGCGAUUCCUUUCAACCAAUGGCGCUUUACCCAUGGUGCACCGGUGACACGAACACGCGAGAUGGAGGGGGACGAGAUCGGAUGGCAGGUGACGGCCGGAAUCAUUUUUAAGCGAUCUAAUUCUUUCACGUUUUCUUUUCGAGCGAACAAUGAUUUAUCGCGUCGUAAAUUUUUCAAGAGGAUUUCAUACAAAGAGAAGUUGGCGAAUGAGGAAGAAUAGAAGGAAAGAAGGAUAGAGUGGAGAUAAA